CCCCCCCCCAGGUCUCCGAUGAGGAGGAGGAGGAGCCCGGGAGGAAGGCCGAGCCCGACGCCCGCGUGAGCAAAAAAGAGAAGAAAAAGCUGAAAAAGCAGCUGGAGUACGAGCGGCAAGUGGCCACCAUGAAGGCGGCGGCGGCGAGCGAGAACGACUUCUCCGUGUCCCAGGCCGAGCUCUCGUCGCGCCAGGCCAUGCUGGAGAACGCCUCCGACAUCAAGCUGGAGAAGUUCAGCAUCUCGGCUCACGGCAAGGAGCUCUUCGUCAACGCCGACCUCUACAUCGUGGCCGGCCGCCGCUACGGCCUGGUGGGGCCCAACGGGUAAAAGGGGGCCCCUUGGGGAUCGGGACGGGGC